UACGUAGGGCGCAAGCGUUAUCCGGAAUUAUUGGGCGUAAAGAGCUCGUAGGCGGUUUGUCGCGUCUGCCGUGAAAGUCCGGGGCUCAACUCCGGAUCUGCGGUGGGUACGGGCAGACUAGAGUGCGGGUAGGGGUGACUGGAAUUCCGUGGUGUAGACGGUGGAAUGCGCAGAUAUCAGGAGGAACACCGAUGGCGAAGGCAGGUCACUGGGCCGCAACUGACGCUGAGGAGCGAAAGCAUGGGGAGCGAACAGG
rnacentral:rRNA from 1 species